UCCGACUGCUAUCCGGGUAAGACUAAGCCAUGCAAGUCGAACGGAACAGCGUGUUCCGUGGCGAACUGCUCAGUAACAAGUGAUUAACUUACCCUUCAGCGGAGAACAACCUCGGGAAACUGAGGCUAAUUCCCCAUAGUUGGAGUUGCCUGGAACGGUACUCCAUCCAAAGAUACCCCGGAAUGCAGGGGGUUCGCUGAAGGAUAGAAUUGCUCUCGAUUAUGGUUGUUGGCGAGGUAAUGGCUCACCAAGCCUAUGAUCGAUAGGGGCCGUGGGAGCGGUAGCCCCGAGAUGGGAACUGAGACAAUGUCCCAGGCCUUACGAGGCGCAGCAGGCGCGAAACCUUUACAAUGCACGCAAGUGUGAUAAGGUUACCCGGAGUGCCGAGAGAAAAUCUUUCGGCUGUUGUAGGUGUGUAAAAAACCCUACGAGGAAGGAGAGGGCAAGGCUGGUGCCAGCCGCCGCGGUAAAACCAGCUCUUCAAGUGGUCGGGAAUUUUAUUGGGCUUAAAGCGUCCGUAGCCGGUUUGGUAAGUUCCUGGUUAAAUCUGGCAGCUCAACUGUCAGUUGGCUAGGAAUACUAUCUUACUAGAGGGUGGGAAAGGUUUGAGGUACUUCAGGGGUAGCGGUGAAAUGCUAUAAUCCUUGGGGGACCACCAGUGGCGAAGGCGUCAGACUGGAACACGCCUGACGGUGAGGGACGAAAGCCAGGGGAGCGAACGGGAUUAGAUACCCCGGUAGUCCUGGCCGUAAACGAUGCGUGCUAGGUGUUGGUAGGGCUAUGAGCCGUAUCAGUGCCGUAGGGAAACUGUUAAGCGCGCCGCCUGGGAAGUACGCUCGCAAGGGUGAAAC
rnacentral:rRNA from 1 species